CCGUCUCGUUGGUGACGUCGCCUCGUCGUCGGCUCCUUUGGCGGGCUUUUUCCGCGCAGGCGCAGACGCUCUCCCUCCUCCCGCCGCGCUGGGGAAAGUCCACCCAAAAGAGGGACAAGGCCAGGUCAUCGCUCAUCUUAAGCCAUGGGAGCCGCUGUCGAAACCGCUGCCGUUGAACCCGCGUGGAAGAGUGGCCGGUUGGACCUCAUCUUCCCCCAGCUCAGUGCCAGGGGCUGGAGGAAAGGCCAGCUGAGGAUGGAGCCGGGAGAUAAGGCAGCAGCGCUCCAGAGAGGGUAGAAAUGAUUUGUGCAGAACAGUCAUUACCCGGAACCUCCCAGCAGACGGUGAUUUCGGCAAACCAUGGACAGAUGGGCCGGAUGUUAGCGUUUUGGGAGCAGACUGUGAGGGGUGGACCUGUCCGAUGGGACGGCACAGAAGAAGCUUUUGGAAAUAAGCAGUCAGCUGUGGGGUUCUUGUCAAUCGGGGCCGGCGUUCCGGAAGAGCGCCUCGUCGCGGUGGUACCAGGGAGGACCGCCGCCCGUCAGCCGUGGAUUGAGGUUUGGGUUUUCCGGGGGUGUGUUUUUCCCACUGCCACACUCGAGUCUUCAGAAUAAAAACCAGACUGUCCCAAUGUAA